UGAGAAAUGCCUAGACUUCAGAAGCAGAAAU
rnacentral:piRNA from 1 species